rnacentral:siRNA from 1 species
GCACACAUGAUGUUGCUUAUUGG